rnacentral:lncRNA from 10 species
UGAGUAGCUGAGAUUACAGGUGCCUGCCACCACACCCGGCUAAUUUUUGUAUUUUCGGUAGAGACGGGUUUUCACCAGGUUGGCCAGGCUGGUCUCGAACACCCAACCUGAGGUGAUCCGCCCGCCUCUGCCUCCCAAAGUGUUGUGAUUACAGGCGUGAGCCACUGCACCUGGCCCCAAGUAAGUUUGAUGAUUCAAAUUCUGUCUUUAAAGCAGGAGAAAAGGUGUAUUUGAGGGGUCUUUACCCCAUCUCAGACCGAAUUCUUAACUCCUGUCUCCUUGUUGUACUUGAGCUUUUCUUGUUCCUAGUCACAAGGGAACGGUCGCGACAGACAGCCCUCUCCUACUUCCGUGAUAACCGUAGAAUUAUCAGCUAGGCAAAGUGCUACUUCUAAUAAGUCAGAAAUUUAAACUUUUUUUUCAUUGAAGACUUAGAGAUUCUAGUCUUUAGAGAUUUCUGGUAACUAGUGUCUUGUGGGCAGGUUCUAGGACCGUUUGUCAGCCCUGGAAUUUUCCAGAUCUCUGUAAUUAAGGAUGUACUGUUUUAAGGCUGAUCUGUUCUUGAUUCAUUCACUGUAAGCAAAGACACAUUUUCAGUUGCUUUUGCAGAACAUAACAUUUUGAGUCAUUUGUCUUGAUCUGUAAUGCUAAUGUUUUAUUACACUAUAAAUGUUUACCUUGCAAAAUAUUGUUGCAUAUAUUACUUUACUUGAUUUACUCGAUUCACAUGUUUACAAAGAUGUGUGAAUUAGGCCACGUAGAUGCUGUUCUCCCCAUUUUACAGAUGAAGAGAUGGCCCGCAUCAGUUCUGUGACGUGCCCAAAAUCACACGAAGCGAGUUAAUCACAGACCCAGAUUUUCUCAUUCGCAGUAUGCUGCAUACUUGUCCAUACUAAAUUAUCUUUAAACAGUGACAAACAUUUAAAAGCAGAUUUGGGAGCCACCUGUUUUGCUGUGGAGCCUGGAAGGCUGAUUCAUAAGGAAUUUCAAAUAAUGGCAGUGACCAUGGCCUCAUUAGCCAGCUUGGUCCCCCUCAGUAUGACGAAGAAACUGGACUGAGAGAAGAACCCCAGGUUGAAGAGAACUCUCUGUGUUCUGCACACCUGUGCUGCCGAAAAUACAGACACCAGUGAGGCCCUAAAGAGAGUAAGCGAACCAGGAAGAGAAAAAAAUCACACAGAUGAAUCCUCGCAGCCUGAAGGGCAUUUGGCACAGAAGGUGUCUCAAAAAGUCAGCUGAGGGAACAUCCAGAUGUCACGCAAAAGGAUGUUUUCUCCUGAAUGAAGACUUACGAUAUAGAUGAGAGUUAUGAAGUGACUAAAAUGAGAAGUAAUAGUAAGAUAUGGGGAAUUAGAAUGAAGUCAAUAACCUCGAACUUGGCAACUGGAAGUCCUGGCUAUUUGGGAAAAGUAGUCCUUUGUUAAACUUGGACAAGUUGUUCCUUUUAAUGUGCCCCAUUUCCAAAAAUAUUGAAUUUCUUUACCUUUCAUUCAGCAAAAGCAGCAGAAACUUUUGCUUAAACGUUUCCUUGUCUUUUGCCACUUGGAGGUGUUGCUUGAAAUGCUCUCAUCCUCCGGGGUUACCUUUCGUCAAAGGAAGCUGCAUGAACGCAUCCGUCACUCGCAGCUAUUUCAGGGCUAGCUUGUUUUAAGUUAGGGGUGAUAACAGAUAUAGGCAGAACUUUGCAAUGUAAAUGUUUAGUCUUAUUUGGGCACUGCUGAAUUUGUUUCCGAGCCUCGUCUUGUGAUUUUAAUUUCUGGCUUGUCUCCUGAAAACAACAAAAAUGAGCUCUUUGGUUCACAUUUUCAGUGGCUUUGGUUUGCAGAAAUCAUAAAUAAAAGUAACUUACAUGGAACAGAACAUUUUAACAAACAAGGUGAGAAUUACUCCGUUUGCUCUUUACAGUCCUUUGGUUUUUGGUUCACAAACUUGGAAAGAAAUCUGUGCUUUAAAUAAAGCCUUCUUAUACUCC